rnacentral:lncRNA from 10 species
GCCCUGUGGGGAAGGUGUCUUGCUUCCCCUUCACCUUCCACCAUCAGUGUAAGUUUCCUGAGGAUUCCCCAGCCGUGCUGAACUAGAUGUGGUCUCACUGUGUUGCCUAGGCUAGUCUCAAACUCCUGGCCUCAAACUAUCAUCCCACCUUAGCCUCCCAAAGUGCCGGGAUCACAAAUUUGUCCCAUAGCAUAAGAUUCACACUCAAUACUAUCAUCCUUUGGGUCUCUAAGACACCAACCUAAAAAUUUCUUCCACCGGUUGUGAUUUUGUCCCAGGAGAAUGUGUGCACACGGUGGCCACCAGAGGGAGCCCUUCAGCGACAGAGGAUGAGAGCUGCAGGAUGGUCAGAGGAAACCCAAUCCACAUUGGAACAAGGCUUCUUAAGACAUGGAUGUAAUUUGGUGGUGCGGAAAAAUCAGAGUGUUCAAAACAAUGAUGAUGUAAAAGGCUGAACCAAAAAUAACAACUGAUCUUACAUACACCAUUCCUCUGCUGCAUUGGUAUAUCACAGCUGUGAUCUCCACAAGACUGAUGGAUCUCCUCACUUCCUCCCAUACCACUUCAAAGGGCA